UACAGAGGUCUCAAGCGUUGUUCGGAUUCAUUGGGCGUAAAGGGUGCGUAGGCGGCGCGGUAAGUCGGGUGUGAAAUCUCGGAGCUUAACUCCGAAACUGCAUUCGAUACUGCCGUGCUUGAGGACUGGAGAGGAGACUGGAAUUUACGGUGUAGCGGUGAAAUGCGUAGAUAUCGUAAGGAAGACCAGUGGCGAAGGCGGGUCUCUGGACAGUUCCUGACGCUGAGGCACGAAAGCUGGGGGAGCGAACGGG
rnacentral:rRNA from 1 species